AACGUUCACUCGUCGGUACACACACUGAGUUACUCAACUGGCUCGUGUGUGUCUAUAAUCUAUAUAUAUAUAUAUAUAUAUAAGGGUGCGCUACACGCAUGGCCUCCUCUUCUCGAUCUCUCUCUGCUACUCUGCGCACAUUCCCCACUCGCGUCCCAACCCUGCAACGAUCCCCGCCGUCCAUUCCACUGACACCAAGGUCGGUCGUUCCUAAUCCCAUUGUUUACUCGCUCGGACCGAAGGGGGUUUUGCUGAUCGGCUCGAAAUCGAAGAAAUUUGACUGCAAAGCGAAGUCAUCAAUGGCUGAGAUUGCGACUGAGAAAGGGAAAGGGAAGGUACAGGUGUUCGAUUCGGAGGAGGAUCUGGCGGUGUCUGUGGCCAAAUACACAGCCGAUCUAUCCGAUAAAUUUGCCAAGGAGAGAGGAGCUUUUACUGUUGUGUUUUCUGGAGGUUCUCUCAUCAAGUGUCUCAGGAAAUUAGUUGAGCCUCCGUAUAUUGAUUCGGUGGACUGGUCGAAAUGGCACGUCUUUUGGGUGGACGAGAGAGUUGUUCCUAAGGAUCACCCAGACAGCAAUUAUUUGCUCGCUUACAAUGGUCUUCUAUCCAAGGUACCAAUUCCUCCCGGUAAUGUUUAUUCCAUCAAUGAUGCACUGUCGCCGGAGGCUGCAGCUGAUGAUUAUGAGACUUGUGUCAAACACUUGGUUCAUAAAAAGAUAAUAGAUUUGUCUGCAGCUACUGGGUUUCCAAAAUUUGAUCUCAUGCUAAUAGGUAUGGGCCCAGAUGGACAUGUAGCUUCUCUGUUCCCCGGGCAUCCUCUUGUUAAAGAAAACAAGCAGUGGGUUACUUACAUUAAGGAUUCACCAAAACCACCUCCAGAGAGGAUUACUUUUACCUUUCCAGUAAUCAAUUCCUCUGCACAUAUUGCACUCGUGGCCCCAGGGGCCAGCAAAGCCCAUCCGGUGCAUGUGGCACUCGGAAAUGGUCAAACUUCUGAUGUGCUUCCUGUUCAAUUGGUUUCACCUGAAGGGGAAUUGACAUGGUUUUUGGACAAGGAAGCAGCUUCAAAGCUAUAGGACCGACCAGGCAUGCACGUAGCUAUGGAGAUUAAUCUGAAUGUCGGAUGUGUUUUGGCUUGGUGCUUUUUGUUGUAGGCAUGUGGAAGCAAAUGUUUCAAUACCAAUUGAGGAUGACCCAAUCUUACUUGUGUAGACCCCAAUUGAAAGGCUUGCAAAACUGGAAGUUCAAUUUGACCAAGCAUUGAGGUUAGGUCCUUGGUGUGGACAAUCGAACAACCCGCCUACCUCCCUCAAAAUUUUCUAAGAAUUAGGGUUCGUAGCUAUUCUUGGCAUCCUAAAAUCGUCUUGAACAAUCUUUCUGCAUUGAUCCAUCUGUUGAAAUUUUGCAUUAAAGACAGUUAGUUGUAGAAGUGAAUUUGUUUCAUCAGGUGGGCAUUAAGAAGCAGGAACCUUGGAUAUCUAAUAAUUUUUCAAAUUGGUAAGAGGCCACAUUGAUUUUGUUGUUUUAAUGACGUGUGUUGUUUUUCUUCAUCCAUGCUAGCAGGAAAUUAGGAUUUGAAUAUUAUGGAAGCUGAUUUGUUAUAUAUCUUCUGUCGAUAUCCUUUUGUGGCAGUUGCUUCUGUAAUUUGUCUUUUUGAUUUGUGUAUGAUGUUUAUUUAUAGAUUGUCUGAUGUGUUUUGGCU